rnacentral:misc_RNA from 1 species
AAAUAAUUAAAAGUGUUUUGGUGAUGGUGACGUUUUAUGGUAUUUAUAUAAGAUGAUAUAAGAGUAUAGAUGUGUUUGUUAGAUUUAGUUUUGAAGAUGUUUGUGGAAGGUUAAUAGAGUUUUUAAGUAAAAAUAGUUAGAUGUGUUAUGUGUUUUUUAUGAAGUGUAAUUUGAUAUAUUUUAAAUUUUUUUUUAAAUAUGAUAUUUAUGGGAGAAUAGAUAUUAU